rnacentral:tRNA from 1 species
UAUGAAAUGGCAGAAGAAUGCCUGAACUUUAAGCGUUUAUCAUGACCCACCGGUCUUUCAU